CUGGCUUGUCAGAGGGCAUCAAAGAAGUGCUGGCAGGAGCUGGUUUAGAUGGCUUGAGUGUGGUAGGCUGAGCCAAGUGGGAAUGAGGCCUCACAGGGUAUACUGCAGGGGGCCUGCAUGAAGCCAGGGAGAGAGGCUUUCUAGAAACCAGUCUGGCUUGAGGCUUGUCCGGGGCUGGGAAAGGCAGAGGUACUAACUUGACCUUCCCAGGUGGGGGCAGCUCAUAGUGGGAUGGAGAGAGCUACUUGCAAACAUUGCUCUCUGGUCUUUGAGCAUUGCCCAGCGUUUUAACAGGGCCUCGGUCAUCACAUGGCACAUCCUGUAGUGAUGUGGUGCCUGGGUCUGUUCUGGGAUCUUUGUUGCACUUGAAAUUUAGCAGAGCCUGGGUGGAUGAAUUGCCAUUUUUUUUCUCACUCUUCUUUUCCAGUGUGUGAAGGAACUGCUUGGAGCAUGUGCUUUCCGAGGUGAGUUCGAGGCUUUUUAAAGCUGUCUUAUAUUUUCUUCCUCUUGGUCUUGGGGAUGGUGGGCUUGUCUUGUGUCUUGACUCUGUUACUUGAUGGCUUCAGCUGCUGUAUUUUGCUGAAAUUGUUUUCCCUAGUCCUCUUAGUCCCGUCUUGCCCCUGCACCCUAGUUACCCUGGGCUGGCUGGGUGUGGCUUCCUGAGCUUUGCCUUCCAAAUGUUUGUUGUUCAUGUUGUCAAUAACCCCUUCACUAGCCGCAGCAUUGGCCCCAGCCUCUCUACCCUCCACCAGGUCCUGGUGCUGGAUUUGGGCCUGAAGAGCUCCAUGAAGCAGAUAAGAUAAUUUCUUUCUUGCUCCCCUACUCAGAGAGUCCUAUGAUCCUGGAGCGUUCCUGAACCUGAUCCCUCCUGAUGACUGUGGAGUCUUUGGAAUGAAUUGCUGUGGGAUUUUCCCAGUAGUCUAGGCUUGGAGCUGGAGGCAAAGAAGGAAUUCUGAAGGACUGUGAAUGAGGGCAGUUAAUGACCUGUCCCCAUCAACAGGUGGUAUCUUCAUCUGGGUAUCCUGGGUGCAGACACUGCAGCAGUCAGGACUCUGUAGCAGACAGAGUGUCAGGCCUGAAGGUGUCAAUCUUCAGGCUGUCUCCAUUUCCACCACUGGAAAAGAGUCAAGGAAGGAGUCAGUGCCUGGUAAGUGAGAUGAUCCCCUCCUUUCAGUGCACCUCAGCACUCAGGUUCCUUCAGUAGUGGGCCAGGCAUUCCUAUGAGCUAUGCUUGAGUAGCAAUGGUACCACCUCGGUUUACAGACACUUAGUAACUACUCAGUUGUUCCUGGUGAACAUUCCCUGUCCUGUUUUCGGAGGAGUGUUAAUCUGAGUAUUUCAUUGUUGUAAUAGAUCACAGCCCCCAAAAUUCAUAGCUAUAUUAGCCCCAUAUGGUUUUAAUUUACCUCUCUGUCCUUCUGGACAUAUACAUUCAAGUGAUCAUGUGCUUUGUUUCACUUGAGAUAAUGUUCCAAUCUCUAACAGCAGAGUAUUUACCUCCUGAAGCAGCCAAUUUGGAUGCCAAAAUUCUGGUGCAAUUAUUGUCACACGUGUCUACCAAACCAUCCAAAAAUGUCAUUUAUUCUUAUUUUUAAUAUUGGUCUUUAUUCACUUAUAAAAUUUUGCCAAAAAAUUUGCUUCAUUGUUUCUCCUGAAUUUUCUAUUCUCUCUGCCUCAACUGUUCCAUCACCCCAAGCAGCCUGGUUUAUUCCAAUAGGCAUCUGGUUAUUUAAUUGCUCUGAGAAGGGGUUUCUUCUAUGAUGGGAGGAAAGGUCAGAAGUGAAUUUUCUGUGGGGGCCUGCAUGAGGCCCCUUUGGGAGUUUCCCAAGGACUGAGGCAAAGGAUUAGCUUGUCUGUCCCUUGUUGAUCUGCAUUCAUUGGUCCAAUGUUUACCCUUACCACACCUUCUGCAUAAUCCUGAAGGGAGGGGUAUUCUGUUGCCAUUGUUCCUUGAAUAAACCUUCUUUCAAGGAAUGCCUUGUUUACAUUCCCUUUUCAAAUGACCUUCUUUUCCACACCCAAAACAUAUGACAUGUUUCCUCAAAACUUUUGUAAUUGCUUCUCCUAUCCACAUAUGAUCAUGGUCAUGAGACUCAACAUGGCCCCACGUUGGGUGCCAAAUGUAGACAAAUUUCUAAACAGUUUUAUUAAAUAAGAAACACAGUGCCAAAUACAGGGGUAAAAUCCAUAGAGAUCAGAGUGAUAGCCACCAACUAACCUUAGCUCACCACGUUGCCAUAGCUUCCCAAGAGAUCCUUUUCCUGUGUAACCUCUACCUUUAUUGCCUUGCUGUUUUGCCUUUUCAUUGGCUCUUAACCCAGCCACCUCACUUCCUCAUCACUGCCUCUAUAUACAGACCUCCAGGUCUCUAUGGUUGGUAGUGGGAUUAAAGGCAUGUGCCACCAUGCUUGGCUGUGUCCUUGAACUCAUAGAGACUGUCUGCUUGUGAUCAGAUUAAGGGCAUGUGCCACCACUGCCUGACUUCUGUUUAUGGCUGUCUAUGACCUCUGAUCUCCAGGCAAACUUCAUUUAUUAACAUACAAAUAAAAUAUCACAUUUCAGCACAAAUACAAUAUCACCACACAGCUCCCCUCCUGUCAGUGCUUCCCAUGGGAUCCCACUGGAGAACACCUGGAUAGGAGAGUGCCAAUGUAGGCUUCUGUCCCUGGUCAGUCAAUGCAGUCACCAUGGUCAUGCCAGCUGGUAGGUAGGGGUAGGCACUGUCCAUGAGCUGCUGGCAACAAGUGCUGGAGUCUGAUGGCAGGAGCCAUGCUGAACUCACAGCUGGGGUGGAGACCCUGGAGAAGUUGCACACACUUCCUGCUAAGGGCGUGGCAUUCCUCAGCACAGGCACAGGGGGCUGCAGAGCACAUUCUGUCCCAAAGAAAGGCAGGCGCAGUUUGGAAAUUUUCUGUAGGAAGCAAGAGGACAAUGGGAAAAAAUGAUGAGAUGGCAGCUUUGUAGUUUCCUGUGGGGAGCCAUGUAAGGAAAUGGGACCAAAUAAAGAAACCCAUUCUAACCUGGAAAUCAGAGCUAGUGAGAAACACACCCUGGCUCUGGGACAUAUACCAGUGAAAGAAACACUUUAGCCCUCAACACAGAACCUAAGAAGCAUACCCUGACCCUGAUAUCAGAGCAAAAGAAACACACUUUGUCCCUCAAUUCAAAUCCAGUGAAAGAAUAUGCCCUGGCCCUAAAAUUAGAUCCAAAAUGCUAAAAAGAAUUAAUGAGAAAUCCCACCCAACCCUCUGAGACUGCAACUGUUUCCUGAGACAGAGCCUGCCAGCACCCAAUUGGACUAAAAGAGCCUUUGUCCAGUGACUGAUGAAGGCAGAUGCAGAGAUCAACAGCCAGGCACCAGACUGAGCUCCGGGAAUCCAGUCGAUGAGAGAGAGAGAGAGAGGAGGGAUUCUGCAGGUGAGGGACAUCAUGAUGAGAGGACAUGCAGAGAUGACUGGCCACACUAGUGGAAGCCCAUGAACUGUGGACUAGUGGCUGUGGUGCCCCCAUGGGACUGGACUAGGCCCUCUGGAUAUGGAAGACGGUUGGUUGUUUGGCUUGAACUGUUUGGGGGGCACCCAGGCAGGGGGAUCGGGAUCUGUCCAGGUACAUGGGGAGGCUUUUGGGAGCCUGGUGACUGGUGUGAUUCCUUGCACAACCUUGGGGCAGUGGGGAGGGGCUUGGACCUGCCUAGGCUCAGUGUGCCAGGCUCUGCUGACUCCCCGUGGGCGACCUUGAUUUGGGGGGUGUGGGGA